rnacentral:lncRNA from 1 species
AGUCUGUCAUUAAACCAGGACCUUUACCACCUGUACCUGAAGCUAAUGGUUGAUCAAUCUUUUAUUGGUGGGCGGGGCUUGGGCUCGCCCACAGGCUCGAGGUUCACCAACACACCUGAGGAAGAGGAAGAGGACGGCAACACCGCAGAAACAUGAGAAUACUUUUAACAGCUAUUUUAAUGUUCCUUUUGGGAAUAAUACAUCCAGUCAGUACGGGGGCUUCUGUCCUUCCAGAUGAUUUGGAGGGAUCAGGAUAUGAUGAUGAGGGUUCAGGUUCAGGGGCUUUGUCAGAAAAAGUCUCACUUGAUGAAAAUAAAAAUGACAAGAGUCAGCCCAACACCAAAGGAGACCGGCGUUUCACAGUAAAAGCAGAGGAAGGAAGCAAGGAUGAUUUCUAUGGUUUUUCAGACAGGGCUUUUGAUGGUACACAUUGGUCUGCAGGGGAAACUAUUGUGGCAAAAAGCAAGACUGUCUUCGAGAACAAAGAAACACUAGCAGGUAUUAUUGCAGGGGGAGUAACGGGACUGGUAAUGGCCAUCAUUCUUGCAGGAGUAUUAAUCUAUAAAUGGCAAAAGAAAGAUGAUGGGGGAUACAUUCUGGGCCAGCAAAGAGCUUCAGAUGAAGAUUGUCACAGAUCCCAUGGGGAUGAGAUUGUUGUAGUUUAACUGUCACACCAAAAAAAAAAAAAAGAAGAAAACAUUACACUGAGGUGACAAAGCCAGGCAUUUUUCCUUCUGUUUUCACUGGGAAAGCUUAUCUGCCCUCAUACUUUUGGGAGAAAAAAAAUUGUUUUUAUGACACAUGAUACCAAUGUAUCUGUUGUAUAUUGAGAAUUUUUAUAUUUAUAUGAAAAUAACAUAAAAAUAAAUAUAUUUUUAAAAAAAUGCAUUUGAAAUAAAUUUUUCUUUUUGAAAAUUAUUUUAACCUCUGUCUUUUACAAAAAUUUGCAAAUUGCUGUAUUGUGUCAUGGACUGUAAACACAUUGAGGUCAUGUCUUCUGUAUUUUGUGUUUUACCCACAUUUUUUUAUGUUUAAUUCCUGUGGAAUCAUGUGUUCGCAAUAGACUGCUGGAAUAAUAGUCAGGAAUGAUAUUAUAAUAAUACCUACAUCAGGUAUUAUUGGUGAUAUUUAACCUUUUAAAAAUAGCUAUGUGAAUCAUCGUAAUUAUUAAUAAAAUUGAUUAAUAUUUUCCUGUCAUUGUUGUUAUUUGCAGCACAGUGGCAAAAAAGUCCAUCUCUUAAGUGAAAAACAUUUUGUACUACAAGGAGAAUCCAAAUAAACUUUUGCAAUUACUCAUGUGAUAACUGCUCUCCAAAUACACACACACAAAAAAAAAAACAUUUUGAAUGUUUGCUUAGAGGUAAAUCAACCUACGCAAUCAAGUUGAGUCUGAUUUUAUUAUGAGGAUGUACAG